GCGCCAUUAGCUCAGUUGGUAGAGCAGCUGACUCUUAAUCAGCGGGUCCAAGGUUCGAGUCCUUGAUGGCGUA
rnacentral:tRNA from 1 species